rnacentral:rRNA from 1 species
AACGGAGGAUCCAAGCGUUAUCCGGAAUUACUGGGCGUAAAGAGUUGCGUAGGUGGCAGGCUAAGUUUCUGUUUAAAUACCAAGGCUCAACCUUGGGCAUGGCAGGAAAACUGGUCCGCUAGAGCAUAGUAGAGGUAACUGGAAUUUCUAGUGUAGGAGUGAAAUCCGUAGAUAUUAGAAGGAACACCGAUGGCGUAGGCAGGUUACUGGGCUAUUGCUGACACUAAGGCACGAAAGCGUGGGGAGCGAAUGGG